UGUAAAUGUUGUUGAAUGUGAAAACCCCUUUAGUACUUAUUUUUUGGUGUCGUUUCAUCUGUUUGUGCUUUCAACAUGAAAGAAAAUUUUAAGUUAUUUUUUUUUACUGUGAUUGUCAAUAUUCUUACAAUAUCUAUGAUAUUCGAUUUUUGAAAACAUAUAUUUACAAGAUAUUACCUUUUGUGUAUUAACUGUGCUCUUUGCACAUAGUUCACACUUAAAUUUUAAAGAACGCGUAAAAUAAAGUGGGAACACUACUUGUUGAUACGUAGAACGAAAGAAUUUCUUUCGUUAAAUGAUGUAGCCGGCGUCCCCAAGCCAACCCAAGCCAUUCAGUUACAGUGUGAAUGUCUGAUCGAUAAGAGGAGCUAUUCAGCGGAGAGCUGAAGCAAAAAUAAAAAGAGAUUUGUUCGAUUUCCCAUUUGCCGCCGCCCGCCCGUCGCCUGCUGCCAUCACGUCGUUUCAUGCAUCAAAAAUUUAAGUGCUCUUCUUACACCACGUUGCCACCACCACGCUGCCGCCACAUAUUGUCUGCCUCCGGUGUCGUUGUCAUCAUUUGCCACACCACGUUCCUUCCAGCCACCACGUUGUUCCCGCCAGCCACCACCAUCAUCACGCUAAAAUAAUUCCUGUGCCAUCACGUUGCCACCACCACGCUGCCGCCACAUCCGCCACAUUAUUGUCUGCCUCCGCUGUCGUCGUCAUUUGCCACACCACGUUCUAUCCAGCCACCACGUUGCUCCCGCCAGCCGCCACCAAUCUUGCUUAAAUAAUUCCUGGUAUGUACCUACUUUUUAUGAUUUAUAUUAUAUAUAUAUCGAUACCUUCCCAGAAGAAUGUAUUAAACCCUUUGCUCCCGGAAAAAAAUACAAAUAUCUUGAAAAAAAUUUUAAUAUUUUCUAAUUACACACUAAAAUGAAAAAAUAAUGAUUGUACUAGUAAUAACAUUGUAUAAGGAAUGUUUUGAGCUGAGAGUACAAAAGGAGAAGUCCAUUUUUUAUUAAAAAAAAACUAACAAAGUAAUUAAUACGUGGUUUCAUGCUGAAACCACUAGGAAGCAAAGGGUUAAACGACAUUCUCAAAAUUUGUAUAAACUUAAAACAAACUUGCUGUUCAUUUCAAAGAAAUAGAACUACAAUUACUGCCUAGAAUCAUUUUUAUUAAUAUUUUAAAAUUUGAUUGCAUUAUAAUCAUUAACACUCUACCGCAAA